GUACUAUAUAUAUGUCGGAGACUGUCAAUAGUACGGACACUAAACGUCACGCAAGCGCGCCCUCUGGUGGCGUUUCCGGUGAAACAACAUUUUGGCGCGCUUGGCAGAGUAGUGGUGGUCGGCGUGGCGUCCGCGGAGCUCAGUCUUGGUCGAGUCGUCGUGCUGCGCACAUCUCGAUACUGCCUUUCGUUACGUGUAGUGUACCUAGUGUUAUUGCCUAGUGUUGUAGUACUGUUGUAGAUCCAUAUUGUAAAGUGUGUAAAGUGUCUUUUGAAAUUAAAGUGUAAAGGUUCUUCUAACCUAACAGACAGACAUGUGUUGCUGGGGAGUUUGUUCCGCCACUUCUUCUCCCCAAGCCAAAACACAUAGGAAGUGGCGAAGGGCGGGCGUUUUGGGGGCUGUCUUUUGUUCUGACUAAUUUGAAUAAACGUUUGACUUUUGAGUUCGUUUGAAUUUUGAGUUUCUUUGAGUUAUCUCUUUGCUUCAUUACCCUAACUGAUGUCGGACGAUAGUGCCAUCCUGAUGUUCGCCUCCGACAUCAGAAGUGGGAUGUAAUCCGAAUGCCCACAUGUGUUAAGAAUUCGCCAUGCGAAGAUAAAAUUCUGCCCAUUGACAAAAAAAAAUGUAACGUCGAUAAUUUGAAAUGGAGUUUGUAGUAGAAGAAUUAUUAAGAAUUUCAGCAAAGGUACAAGUAUGGUAACCACGGUUAUGGUAAUGGUAUCGUUUUCCAUUGCUACAUGUCAAGCUAGUUAUCGAGGGUAUGCUAGAAAAUUAACCGAAUCUGUCUUUUUUUCAUGUUUCAACAAUGACGGUGGUUAUUGUGCAAUCUGGCGACAAAAUUACUGCGGAGCAUCCCAGCUGCCAGGAGCCUGAUGUGUCAUCGUAAGGUCGGAGUGUUGGUGCUCGUGCAUCUACGUGGCUUCACGUCCGCGAAAGCCUUGCUGUACUGCGCGCCAUAGCGAUGUGCGCAUCGUCAUGCGCGUUGAGGUGUUGAGUGGAAACCCGGUGAGACCGAUCCAUUUUUGCUUUAUUUUGAGAUAACAUCUAAGGUGAACCGAGCCUGGAGAACAGGACGAGGUCCACUAGUCAAGCGGCGGGCGAGGUGCGCUGCAGUUGCUGUUUGGAGCGUCAUCCUCCCCCGGAUUUGUCGUGGAGGCCGUAUGAGUUGCGGCAGGCCAGGACAUCGCAUGUCAUCGCACAAGGUGAAAGCAUUCUAUUGCAUUGAAAAUGUUUAGAUUGAUCAGACAAACUUGACAAUGACUGGCCUGUGUGGCAGCUAGGAGCCUGUGUGGCAGCUAGGAGCCUGUGUGGCAACUAGGAGCCUGUGUGGCAGCUAGGAGCCUGUGUGGCAGCUAGGAGCCUGUGUGGCAGUUAGGAGCCUGUGUGGCAGCUAGGAGCCUGUGUGGCAGCUAGGAGCCUGUGUGGCAGUUGGUAGCCUGUGUGGCAUUCAAGUAUGAGCGAUAUUAAUAAGCCUGUGUGGCGUAAUUAUGACCCUAUGUGGUUCUGUGGUUCAGAUGGAUCUGUGUGACUUUUGUUCAGUGUGCUACAUAGUGGUCAGGAGUGGCCGAGGUUGUACUGUGCAUACUGUGCUGUGUUUGUGUUGUUGCAGAUUAACCCACGAGGACGUGGGUCUACGCAGGAUGGCCGUGUCGGAGACUGUCAAUAGUACGGACACUAAACGUCACGCAAGCGCGCCCUCUGGUGGCGUUUCCGGUGAAACAACAUUUUGGCGCGCUUGGCAGAGUAGUGGUGGUCGGCGUGGCGUCCGCGGAGCUCAGUCUUGGUCGAGUCGUCGUGCUGCGCACAUCUCGAUACUGCCUUUCGUUACGUGUAGUGUACCUAGUGUUAUUGCCUAGUGUUGUAGUACUGUUGUAGAUCCAUAUUGUAAAGUGUGUAAAGUGUCUUUUGAAAUUAAAGUGUAAAGGUUCUUCUAACCUAACAGACAGACAUGUGUUGCUGGGGAGUUUGUUCCGCCACUUCUUCUCCCCAAGCCAAAACACAUAGGAAGUGGCGAAGGGCGGGCGUUUUGGGGGCUGUCUUUUGUUCUGACUAAUUUGAAUAAACGUUUGACUUUUGAGUUCGUUUGAA